rnacentral:sRNA from 1 species
AUGUACCACGCGUACACUGCGGUUCCUCACGUGCCGUCCGCACCCACCUGACGCCUGCUCGCUACGUUUUGUUAGCC